rnacentral:rRNA from 1 species
CUCGUAGGCGGUUCGUCGCGUCCGGUGUGAAAGUCCAUCGCUUAACGGUGGAUCCGCGCCGGGUACGGGCGGGCUUGAGUGCGGUAGGGGAGACUGGAAUUCCCGGUGUAACGGUGGAAUGUGUAGAUAUCUGGAGGAACACCGGCGGCGAAAGCGGCCUACUGGCACGAAACUGACGCUGAGGCUCGAAAGCGUGGGGAGCGAACG